AAUUCUCAAUCCCCUCUAGCUUUGGCAGUCGGGACUUGGAUAGUGGAGGUAUCUGCCGGCUCUCGUUGAGUGUCAGCUCCUCUGAAAUGCAUUAGCGGAACUGUUUGCGAUCCAUGACAGGUGUGAUAAUUGUCUACAUCUAGUGGGUUGCUCUCUGAAUGUUCGGCUGCUAACUGUCUUCUCUGUGGGACAACAUUUGAACC
rnacentral:misc_RNA from 1 species